rnacentral:rRNA from 1 species
CCUACGGGAGGCAGCAGUGAGGAAUAUUGGUCAAUGGCCGAGAGGCUGAACCAGCCAAGUCGCGUGAGGGAAGAAUGUCCUAAGGAUUGUAAACCUCUUUUGUCGGGGAGCAAAAAGGCUCUGCGGAGUCGUAUUGAGAUUACUUGAAGAAAAAGCAUCGGCUAACUCCGUGCCAGCAGCCGCGGUAAUACGGAGGAUCCGAGCGUUAUCCGGAUUUAUUGGGUUUAAAGGGUGCGCAGGGGGCUGGUCAAGCAAGCGGUAAAAUAGCGGGGCUCAACCCCGUAGGGCCGUUUGAACUGGCAGGAUUGAGUUCAGGCGAGGUAGGCGGAAUUCGUGGUGUAGCGGUGAAAUGCAUAGAUAUCACGAAGAACUCCGAUUGCGAAGGCAGCUUACCAGUCUGCGACUGACGCUGAGGCACGAAAGUGUGGGUAUCGAACAGGAUUAGAUACCCGAGUAGUC